GACGAACGGUGCGAGCGUUAUUCGGAAUCACUGGGCUUAAAGGGCGCGUAGGCGGGCCAUCAAGUCAGGGGUGAAAGCCCCCAGCUCAACUGGGGAAGUGCCUCUGAUACUGGUGGUCUCGAGGGAGGUAGGGGCGUGCGGAACUUCCGGUGGAGCGGUGAAAUGCGUAGAUAUCGGAAGGAACACCGGUGGCGAAAGCGGCGCGCUGGACCUCUUCUGACGCUGAGGCGCGAAAGCCAGGGGAGCGAACGGG
rnacentral:rRNA from 1 species